GUGCCAGCCGCCGCGGUAAUACGAAGGGUGCAAGCGUUACUCGGAAUUACUGGGCGUAAAGCGUGCGUAGGCGGUUUGUUAAGUCCGCUGUGAAAGCCCUGGGCUCAACCUGGGAAUUGCAGUGGAUACUGGCAAGCUAGAGUGCGGUAGAGGAUGGUGGAAUUCCCGGUGUAGCGGUGAAAUGCGUAGAGAUCGGGAGGAACACCCGUGGCGAAGGCGGCCAUCUGGACCAGCACUGACGCUGAGGCACGAAAGCGUGGGGAGCAAACAGGAUUAGAAACCCCAGUAGUCC
rnacentral:rRNA from 1 species